rnacentral:tRNA from 1 species
GCCCAAGUGGCGGAACUGGCAGACGCGCUAGGUUGAGGGCCUAGUGUCCUUUAUUGGACGUGGAGGUUCGAGUCCUCUCUUGGGCA